rnacentral:tRNA from 1 species
GAUGAGGUGGCUGAAAAUAGGCUAUAAAUUGUAAAUUUAUAUAUAAACAUUUGUUUCCUUAUUA